rnacentral:misc_RNA from 1 species
UCUUGAUUCUGGAGAGUUGGAUUAAAAGUAAGAAUCCAAGAGAGAGAUAUCUAAACUGCGAAACUCGUCUUCAGUAAUCCAAGUGGUAUUGGAAUUGGAUUGUCCAUGCUACUUGUCAAUAAAUCUUUGAAAACUACCGUGAGAGGAAGUAAAAAACUCAUUAUCUAUCAUAGUUUCAAUGGAAUCUCGUUGUUAGGGAAGAGAGGACUUUGGAGCAUGUUGACUUAUAGAAGCAGUAGAUGGUGAAGUUGGAGGCUUAAAAGUGCCUCAAUAAGGUG